AGAUUAAGUUAUUAAGGGCGCACGGUGGAUGCCUUGGCACUAGAAGCCGAUGAAGGACGUUACUAACGACGAUAUGCUUUGGGGAGCUGUAAGUAAGCUUUGAUCCAAAGAUUUCCGAAUGGGGGAACCCAGCACGAGUUAUGUCGUGUUAUCCGCAUGUGAAUACAUAGCAUGUGAGAAGGUAGACCCGGAGAACUGAAACAUCUUAGUACCCGGAGGAAGAGAAAGAAAAAUCGAUUCCCUGAGUAGCGGCGAGCGAAACGGGAAGAGCCCAAACCAACAAGCUUGCUUGUUGGGGUUGUAGGACACUCUUAUGGAGUUACAAAAGAAUGAGUUAGACGAAUAACCUGGAAAGGUUAAUCAGAGAAGGUAAUAAUCCUGUAGUCGAAAACUGAUUCUCUCUUGAGUGGAUCCUGAGUACGACGGAGCACGUGAAAUUCCGUCGGAAUCUGGGAGGACCAUCUCCUAAGGCUAAAUACUCUCUAGUGACCGAUAGUGAACCAGUACCGUGAGGGAAAGGUGAAAAGUACCCCGGAAGGGGAGUGAAAGAGAACUUGAAACCGUGUGCUUACAAGUAGUCAGAGCCCGUUAAGGGGUGAUGGCGUGCCUUUUGUAGAAUGAACCGGCGAGUUACGAUCUGAUGCAAGGUUAAGCAGGAAAUGUGGAGCCGUAGCGAAAGCGAGUCUGAAUAGGGCGAAUGAGUAUUUGGUCGUAGACCCGAAACCAGGUGAUCUACCCUUGGUCAGGUUGAAGUUCAGGUAACACUGAAUGGAGGACCGAACCGACUUACGUUGAAAAGUGAGCGGAUGAACUGAGGGUAGCGGAGAAAUUCCAAUCGAACUUGGAGAUAGCUGGUUCUCUCCGAAAUAGCUUUAGGGCUAGCCUCAAGUGAUGAUUAUUGGAGGUAGAGCACUGUUUGGACGAGGGGCCCCUCUCGGGUUACCGAAUUCAGACAAACUCCGAAUGCCAAAUAAUUUAACUUGGGAGUCAGAACGUGGGUGAUAAGGUCCAUGUUCGAAAGGGAAACAGCCCAGACCACCAGCUAAGGUCCCAAAAUAUAUGUUAAGUGGAAAAGGAUGUGGCGUUGCCCAGACAACUAGGAUGUUGGCUUAGAAGCAGCCAUCAUUUAAAGAGUGCGUAAUAGCUCACUAGUCGAGUGACACUGCGCCGAAAAUGUACCGGGGCUAAACAUAUUACCGAAGCUGUGGAUUGUCCUUUGGACAAUGGUAGGAGAGCGUUCUAAGGGCGUUGAAGCAUGAUCGCAAGGACAUGUGGAGCGCUUAGAAGUGAGAAUGCCGGUGUGAGUAGCGAAAGACGGGUGAGAAUCCCGUCCACCGAUUGACUAAGGUUUCCAGAGGAAGGCUCGUCCGCUCUGGGUUAGUCGGGUCCUAAGCUGAGGCCGACAGGCGUAGGCGAUGGAUAACAGGUUGAUAUUCCUGUACCACCAACAAUCGUUUUAAGCGAUGGGGGGACGCAGUAGGAUAGGCGAAGCGUGCUGUUGGAGUGCACGUCCAAGCAGUGAGACUGAGUGUUAGGCAAAUCCGGCACUC
rnacentral:rRNA from 1 species